rnacentral:rRNA from 1 species
AGUGAACGCUGGCGGUAGGCCUAACACAUGCAAGUCGAACGGCAGCACAGUAAGAGCUUGCUCUUACGGGUGGCGAGUGGCGGACGGGUGAGGAAUACAUCGGAAUCUACUUUUUCGUGGGGGAUAACGUAGGGAAACUUACGCUAAUACCGCAUACGACUUACGGGUGAAAGCAGGGGAUCUUCGGACCUUGCGCGAUUGAAUGAGCCGAUGUCGGAUUAGCUAGUUGGCGGGGUAAAGGCCCACCAAGGCGACGAUCCGUAGCUGGUCUGAGAGGAUGAUCAGCCACACUGGAACUGAGACACGGUCCAGACUCCUACGGGAGGCAGCAGUGGGGAAUAUUGGACGAUGGGCGCAAGACUGAUCCAGCCAUACCGCGUGGGUGAAGAAGGCCUUCGGGUUGUAAAGCCCUUUUGUUGGGAAAGAAAAGCAGCAGGUUAAUACCCCGCUGUUCUGACGGUACCCAAAGAAUAAGCACCGGCUAACUUCGUG